rnacentral:rRNA from 1 species
UACGGAGGAUGCAAGCGUUAUCCGGAAUGAUUGGGCGUAAAGCGUCCGCAGGUGGCUGUGUAAGUCUGCUGUCAAAGAGCGAAGCUCAACUUCGUAAAGGCAGUGGAAACUACACGGCUAGAGUGCGUUCGGGGCAGAGGGAAUUCCUGGUGUAGCGGUGAAAUGCGUAGAGAUCUGGAGGAACACCGAUGGCGAAGGCAGCCUUCUGGGCCAACACUGACGCUCAUGCACGAAAGCGUGGGGAGCAAACAGG